rnacentral:rRNA from 1 species
AGCGAACGCUGGCGGCAGGCCUAACACAUGCAAGUCGAACGGAUCCUUCGGGAUUAGUGGCGGACGGGUGAGUAACACGUGGGAACGUGCCUUUUGGUUCGGAACAACUCAGGGAAACUUGAGCUAAUACCGGAUAAGCCCUUCGGGGAAGGAUUUAUCGCCAUUAGAGCGGCCCGCGUCUGAUUAGCUAGUUGGUGAGGUAAAGGCUCACCAAGGCUACGAUCAGUAGCUGGUCUGAGAGGA